rnacentral:rRNA from 1 species
GACGAACGCUGGCGGCGUGCUUAACACAUGCAAGUCGAACGGUGAACCUCUUCGUAGGGGAUCAGUGGCGCACGGGUGAGUAACACGUGGGCAACCUGCCCCCGGCUCUGGGAUAACUCCAAGAAAUUGGGGCUAAUACCGGAUGUUCACCGCUUCCCGCAUGGGUGGUGGUGAAAAGGGUUUCCGGCUGGGGAUGGGCCCGCGGCGUCUCAGCUGGUUGGUGGGGUAGUGGCGUACCAAGGCGACGACGGGUAGCCGGCCUGAGAGGGUGACCUGCCACGCUGGGCCUGAGCUGAGGCACAGCCUCGUCUGGGAGGCAGCAGUGGGGAAUAUUGCGCAAUGGGAGGAAGCAUGACGCAGCGCCGCCGCGUGGGGGAUGACGGCCUUCGGGUUGUAAACCUCUUUCCGCAGGGACGAAGCGCAAGUGACGGUACCUGCAGAAGAAGCACCGGCUAACUACGUG